GAUGAACGCUGGCGGCGUGCCUAAUACAUGCAAGUCGAGCGAACAGACGAGGAGCUUGCUCCUCUGACGUUAGCGGCGGACGGGUGAGUAACACGUGGAUAACCUACCUAUAAGACUGGGAUAACUUCGGGAAACCGGCGCUAAUACCGGAUAAUAUAUUGAACCGCAUGGUUCAAUAGUGAAAGACGGUUUUGCUGUCACUUAUAGAUGGAUCCGCGCCGCAUUAGCUAGUUGGUAAGGUAACGGCUUACCAAGGCGACGAUGCGUAGCCGACCUGAGAGGGGGAUCGGCCACACUGGAACUGAGACACGGUCCAGACUCCUACGGGAGGCAGCAGUAGGGAAUCGUCCGCAAUGGGCGAAAGCCUGACGGAGCAACGCCGCGUGAGUGAUGAAGGUCUUCGGAUCGUAAAACUCUGUUAUUAGGGAAGAACAAAUGUGUAAGUAACUAUGCACGUCUUGACGGUACCUAAUCAGAAAGCCACGGCUAACUACGUG
rnacentral:rRNA from 1 species